AAUGAACGCUGGCGGCAUGGCUAAGACAUGCAAGUCGAACGGACUAUUGUGAAGAGUAAUCGGAUUAAUAGUUAGUGGCGAAAGGGUGAGGAAUGGAUAGGUAACAUACCUCGGGCUCCGGAAUAGCUCAUCGAAAGGUGGGGUAAUGCCGGAUGACGUCCCGUGUUUAAUACGCGGGACCAAAGAUUUAUCGGCCCCUGAGUGGCCUAUUCCCUAUCAGCUUGUUGGUGAGGUAACGGCUCACCAAGGCGACGACGGGUAGCGGGACUGAGAGGUUGACCCGCCACAUCGGAACUGAGACACUGUCCGGACCUCCACGGAGGGCUGCAGUAACGAAUAUUGGGCAAUGGGCGAAAGCCUGACCCAGCAAUGCCGCGUGUAGGAUGAAGCUUUUCGGAGUGUAAACUACUUUCAGGGAUUAGAAAGCUACGGUUGAUCAAUCCCAGAAGAAGUCACGGCUAACUUCGUG
rnacentral:rRNA from 1 species